rnacentral:rRNA from 1 species
AUACGGAGGAUGCGAGCGUUAUCCGGAUUUAUUGGGUUUAAAGGGUGCGUAGGCUGUGCGUUAAGUCAGGGGUGAAAUGCCGUCGCUCAACGACGGAGCUGCCCUUGAUACUGGCGUGCUGGAGUACGGAUGCCGUUGGAGGAAUGAGUGGUGUAGCGGUGAAAUGCAUAGAUAUUACACAGAACACCGAUUGCGAAGGCAUCUCACAAAUACGUCAAUGACGCUGAGGCACGAAAGGGCGGGGAUCAAACAGGAUUAGAUACCCUGGUAGUCCGCACAGUAAACGAUGAUAACUCGCUGUUGGUUCGGAAGAAUCAGUGGCCAAGCGAAAGCGAUAAGUUAUCCACCUGGGGAGUACGACCGCAGGGUGGAAACUCAAAGGAAUUGGCGGGG